rnacentral:tRNA from 1 species
GCCCAGCCAGUAUGGUGGCUGUGACCCUCGGCUUGUAACCGAGUGGGUUCGGGUUCGAAUCCCGAGUAAGACA